GACGAACGCUGGCGGCGUGCUUAACACAUGCAAGUCGAACGGUGACCCAGGGCUUGCCCUGGUGAUCAGUGGCGAACGGGUGAGUAACACGUGGGCAACCUGCCCCUGACUUCGGGAUAACUCCUCGAAAGAGGAGCUAAUACCGGAUACGACCACUUCGGACAUCCGAUGGUGGUGGAAAGUUUUUCGGUCAGGGAUGGGCCCGCGGCCUAUCAGCUAGUUGGUGGGGUAAUGGCCUACCAAGGCGACGACGGGUAGCCGGCCUGAGAGGGCGACCGGCCACACUGGGACUGAGACACGGCCCAGACUCCUACGGGAGGCAGCAGUGGGGAAUAUUGCGCAAUGGGCGAAAGCCUGACGCAGCGACGCCGCGUGAGGGAUGAAGGCCUUCGGGUUGUAAACCUCUUUCAGCAGGGACGAAGCGAAAGUGACGGUACCUGCAGAAGAAGCACCGGCUAACUACGUGCCAGCAGCCGCGGUAA
rnacentral:rRNA from 1 species